CCUACGGGAGGCUGCAGUAAGGAAUAUUGGUCAAUGGACGCAAGUCUGAACCAGCCAUGCCGCGUGAAGGAUGAAGGUCCUCUGGAUUGUAAACUUCUUUUAUAGGGGACGAAACCCAGGUAUUCUUACCUGAUUGACGGUACCCUAGGAAUAAGCACCGGCUAACUCCGUGCCAGCAGCCGCGGUAAUACGGAGGGUGCAAGCGUUAUCCGGAUUCACUGGGUUUAAAGGGAGCGUAGGAGGGCAGGUAAGUCAGUGGUGAAAUCUUCGAGCUU
rnacentral:rRNA from 1 species